CGAGUGAUCUGCUCAUUCUUUUGCAGGUAAACAACGUAUCCUGGAAGAAGCUGUGGGACGUGUUUCGAAAGGAAAUGGAAAUUCAUCGAUUGUGCCGACAUCCAAACAUUUUAGAGUUGUUGGGCUGCUUCUCCGAUGAGACGCGCUACUGUCUGGUCUAUCCUUACAUGUCAAAGGGGUCGCUCUUCCACAGACUCCAUCAUCAGAACAGUGGGCCCCCUUUGUCCUGGCAAGAACGUCUCGCCGUCAUCAACGGGAUCGCCAAGGCCUUACAUCACCUCCAUACGGCCCAACCAUGCGCAGUCAUCUGUGGGAAUCUUUCCAGGUACGUUCUCACUUAUGCUUCACGAUGUCCU